GCCAGUGUGGUGUAGUGGCUUGAAUGUUGGACUAGGAUUCCAGGAGACAAGGGUUCAAAUCCCUGCUCAGCCA